UAGUCCACGCCGUAAACGAUGUCUACUAGCCGUUGGGAGACUUGAUUUCUUAGUGGCGCAGCUAACGCAAUAAGUAGACCGCCUGGGGAGUACGGCCGCAAGGUUAAAACUCAAAUGAAUUGACGGGGGCCCGCACAAGCGGUGGAGCAUGUGGUUUAAUUCGAUGCAACGCGAAGAACCUUACCAGGCCUUGACAUCCUGAGAAUUUGGUAGAGAUAGAGGGGUGCUUCGGCCUGGAAAACAGGUGCUGCAUGGCUGUCGUCAGCUCGUGUCGUGAGAUGUUGGGUUAAGUCCCGCAACGAGCGCAACCCUUAUCCUUAGUUGCCAGCACGUUANGGUGGAACUCUAAGGAGACCGCCGGUGACAAACCGGNGGAAGGUGGGACGACGUCAAGUCAUCAUGGCCCUUAUAGGCAGGGCUACACACGUGCUACAAUGGCCGGUACAGAGGGUUGCCAACCCGGCAAGGGGGAGCCAAUCCCAGAAGCCUGUCCCAGUUCGGAUUGGAGUCUGC
rnacentral:rRNA from 1 species